rnacentral:rRNA from 1 species
GACGAACGCUGGCGGCAGGCUUAACACAUGCAAGUCGAACGCACCUUCGGGUGAGUGGCAGACGGGUGAGUAACGCGUGGGAACCUACCCAGUAGUACGGAAUAACUCAGGGAAACUUGUGCUAAUACCGUAUACGCCCUACCGGGGGAAAGAUUUAUCGCUAUUGGAUGGGCCCGCGUUGGAUUAGUUUGUUGGUGAGGUAACGGCUCACCAAGGCUACGAUCCACAGCUGGUCUGAGAGGAUGAUCAGCCACACUGGGACUGAGACACCGGCCCAGACUCCUACGGGAGGCAGCAGGUGGGGAAUAUUGGACAAUGGGGGAAAACCCUGAUCCAGCCAUGCCGCGUGAGUGAAGAAGGCCUUAGGGUUGUAAAACUCUUUCGCUAGGGAAGAUAAUGACGGUACCUAGUAAAGAAGCCCCGGCUAACUUCGUG